CCAUGCAGAGCUGCUCACAAGUCAUAGAAUCAACUAGGUUGAAAAAGAUCUAUGAGAUCAUCAAGUUCAACCAUUACCCCAGAAUGUACCAGAUGCUUUGACACAAUUGGAAGCUUCGGGUGCGUAGAGGCAAAGAUGUUUUUAUAUUUGGCAGCAGAAGCAAGGCGGAUUAUUCCUCAAGAGCAUCAGCUAAGCUGUGCGAGGAACUGUAGCGCACAAUUUCCCUAUCUCUGAAAUGAAGAAAACAUUUUGCUGAGCAGAGCUAUUCAGGUGCUUUCCUUUUUGCAAAUGAAGAGUAAAAGAGUUUAGAAGAAGCAUGCAUCAUCUUACAGCAAAACCCUCUUUUUAGGUAUUCCAUGGAGGAAUAACCCAGGGCAAUACAUGUGGCAUAAGGAUUUUUAUUUACCCAGAGGUAUUUUAUGCUAGGAGCCAGCAAGUCUGCACAGAUUCCUGUGCAGAGCUUUGUAUGUGAUAAAAGACAUGAGCUCAAAUAUGUUUUCUUUCUUAUAUGUUUACUAUUAUUCGUCAAACUGAAAAGUCAUCUUGUUCCAGUCUGAAGACCCAGUUCUGCCAGACUUAGAGCAUCCUCGGUUUCUCCCAUGACAUCUCUUAAGUCAUCAAGCAACAUGUAGCUCUUGGAUGCUUUGCUCUUCAGCUGGGUAGAAGCUCAGCCUCAGUGAAAGCCUAAGGAUCGUACCCCAGUUUAGUCUUCCUGAGGCUUGUAUGCUCACAAACCAGGACUCCCCUCAGCUGCAGCAGAGCUUUGUGCAAGUGAAGCCCCAGUGCUGAGCCCAUCUGAAGGCCUCCUUUGUGCCGGAGCAAUAUAAAGGUCUUUAGAUCUAGUCUUCAGCCUUGAAAGUGCUUCUUUGAAGUCUCUGGGCCUUCACGUGUCCUCCAGACUUUCAUUUAGUGUAGUGUUCUUUGGGUAGGGUUUUUUUAAGGUUUCACGUAAGAUUUCAACAAGCUGGGGAUGUAUCAAAGUAUAAAAUACUUGCUUGGGCCUUAAUCAAUCCAAACUGUUCUCUUAAAAGGGAAAAAUAAAGGCUGUUAACGCAGGCCAGACACUUACAAGGCAGCAGAUGUUUCUCUUUAUUGUCAGAACAGCAGUCUUUAUUAAAUACCAAAGAAAGCCCUCUAAAUCCAGGAAGGCAGUUGAGUCUAUGCUGAGGACACCUCUUCCUCAGGGUAAACAAUCUUUUCCAAGUCAUUUGUUUUUCCUGCUGAUCCUUCAAUGG